rnacentral:lncRNA from 1 species
GAAAAAUUAAAACUGUAAACAAAUUAAAAGGACCAUCAAAAGCAUGUAUUUUUAAACCCCUCAAACAAAUGUUUAACACUUCAAAAAUACCAUUAUUUGCAUCUGCUUUAUUACAAAAGUUAACAACAAGUUCUUUAAUAGAAGUAAGGGAUGUAGCCAGAAACACUGAUAUAUAGAUAAGUAGUACUAAAUGCGUAGGUGAAACUAAAUUUAAAUGGUUGUUUGUGCAAUUUAAGUAAACAGUACAUAGAUGGGACUUUUAAAUGUUUGGAAGGGGCUUUAAGCUGAAUAGUUGCGCUUAUACAUGUAUGCUUGUUUAAAUUUUGUCUUUCUGUGGAGUAUACUGGACUGAAUGAAGAAUUGAUAAAAAAAAAAUUGGAGAACUUACCUGUUGUAUAUGCGUCAGACUACUACUACAUUAUUGGCUGCUUUAUCUGCCGGUAUAAACACAAAUCGCUUUGUGAGUACCUGGAGUUUAUUUUUCACCCUACAAAUGGGUAUAAUAUUUACAGGUGUUAAUUUCAGAAUUGUUAUUUCACAGUGAGAUAUAUAUACGAAUAUCAACAGUAUUUAUAACAGUAUUAAAAUCA